AGAUAAGGCAGAAACCAACAGCUCUGUUACUGUGUGCCGCAGGAGAUUACUUCAGCCACUUCGUCCCUCCUUCCUCUCCUUCCUCCCCGCCUCCUGCUUGAGGAAGCUCAGGAGGGCUGGGGUGAUCCAGUGAGCAGUUUGGAAGAAGAAAGGAACUGCUUUGUUGGUGGGGAUGGCCAGAGCACCCUGCUUGCACUCCGGCUCCUGCCAACAGGGGAUUAGGUGGCAUGAUGGUGACUCUGAUAGAACUACGCCUGUAACAAGGGAAUUCUCCGCUGGUGGUGCUUUGCUGCUGCUGUGGUUAAUGCUUGAGGAAUACACAGUUUAGAGAAUACAUCCUUCUUCAUUAUCUCAGUAAAGAAAUGAGCCAACAAUGGUAAAAAUGAAAGAAGAAGAAAGAAGAAGAAAAGAAAUAAAAGAAAAAAGAAAGAAGAAAGAAAAAAGAAAAUGUCCUACUCCAGAAGUAUUCUUUUCUGUUUUCUUAUGUCUCAUUUAAAAUACCUGAGGAAAUUAUUUGCUCACCUGUGCACACUUGAAAAUCACUCUGAUGCUUCUGAAUGGACCAAAAUACUGGUGCAAAAAUCAUCAAUAAUGGAGGACGCUGACACAGUCUGACACUGAUGCAUUGCAGCAUCUCCUGAGGAGAUAUUGUGAUGCAUUUCAUCCCUGUAUGAGGAAAAUGUUUUGAUGUUAAUAUGGGCAUAACCUACAAUAUGAAUUUAAAUAAAUCACGGAACUGUUACUGUGUAUAUAUAAUAGAUAAUUUAGUCUUACAACAUUAAUAAUACAGCAACUUCAUUUUCUUUUCACAUUUUCACACAAUAUAAGCAAAUUGAGAGCAUUGACUUCAGUGUUAAAUAUUCAUUCUGAGGCAAGGAGAUGCAGUAAUACAAUUUCUUUUACUAUUUAUGGGAACUGAUGUGGUUAACCCCUAUUCAGAUGUCAUGAUUAAUUUACUUUUGUAUUCCUGAAAUUAUGAUUUUUACUAUAGAAGGGCUGAAGACUACUAUUAGUUGAACUGAAAAGAAGAAGAAUUACACGUCUUCACUUAGAGGUAAAAACCUUUUUGAGAAAAAUUUGUUUUGACAUUUUCAAGGAGGUUCUGGAACCAAGUAAAUAUUAAAUAAUAGGCCAUGUUAGCUGAAUUUCUUGUGUUCAAUUUUAUAUUUUCUACUUAUUUUCUAGAAAAUAUGUAACCUUUCCUACCAGUUUUCAUAAGACAGGAAUGUCUGGUUGUAAAAUCUGGUCCUUAUAUGUGAUGGUUUGAGGUUGAAUUGAAAUGUUAAAAUCUUUUCACCUGUUUUUUGUGAAUCAUCCCCAAUGGCAAUUUUUUUUUUUUUUUUCCAAAGAUCUAGAGCAGACAGGUAUGGAAGAGGCAGCUCUGCUACAGUUAAAUCUCUUGCUUCCUUUUAUUUCCCUCCCUAACCCCCAUCAGCCAUUGGGCCUUAUAACUUGUAUAACUGUUCCACUGAGGACUUGCAUGCUUUGGAACCCAAACAUUUGCUAAGUGUCUAGAUUCAGUAGAGAGCAUAGGCUGGCUUUUAGCUGUAUUUCAUCUCUUCUUACCAAGAAGGACAGGGAAUGACCUAAUUCCACCUGAGUGCCAUAUCUAUUAAACAUGCUUUGUUCUUAAUACAAGCUGCACUGAACGCAGUGACAAAUCCACCUCAACAUGGGGUCAUAGGAAGAGGGAGCAGUCCUGUCAUGGAGCAAAGCUGUGGCUGGACUCCUCAUUCAAGAAGUGGGUCUUGGUUGUCCUAAGUAAGUUUAGCUCAAAGUCCUGCUUAGGAGCAAGACUGGGAUAGGGUUUUCCCCUCUUGUCACUGGAAGUUUCUGAUUAAAGAACUCAGAAGGAAUAAAUAUGAGGGAAACUGACUCUAUCCUCAGAAGGGCUCAUGAUCUCAGAGACUGGGCUGUGUCCUAGCCCAGAUUAUGAAAGAAGAGAGCUGUUUCUCUCAGCACUCUGAACCUUGAUCUGAACCAUGCAGGAGAUGCCUGCUCCAUCAGGCCCUGUGGCCUGGAGCAGGGAUCUUUGCUGGAGCAUGCUGUGGCUCUCCUCUGGCCACAUCCAUCAGCUUUCUCCCAGAGCAUGGGGUCAGAAUGUCAGUGAUCCUUAGGUUUUUCUUUGUCAAAGAGUCAGGCAUUGAGACCUGCUCUUGGGAGGUGUAGGGAGCUGAAGCUGGUUUAGGUAUGCAUGUCAGCCCUGAAGAUGCUUCUUUUGCUGUUACAGUAUUUCCAUUAGGUACUUACAAUGGCCAGUCUUAAUAUAAUCCACAGCAAAAGGAAAAGCCUUAAACUAAGGUUUAGAAAUGUAUUUUCUUACCUUGAACUAAAGUUUAGAAAUAUAUUUUCUUACCUCUGUUUAGCAUUUCUUUAUGGCCUGUCUGAGCUUUCUUGUUGAAUAGAAGUGUUUUAUAUUGAUUCAGCACAGAAAUCAAUUAGGAGGGCUCACACAAUCUAUGCCAUUGACUCAGCUCCACUGGAGAAAUGCACACUUGAGCAAUGCCAAUGAAUAGGUGGAAUUGUUAACUUCUAAGCUGCAUAAGCUGUCUGCUUAUCAUGUGAAUUAACUCUUUACAUCCACACAGCAUGAUAGUAUUUAAAGGAAUAAAGGUCUAUAUAGUGUUCUUAAAAAUUAUCAGUAUUUUUCUUGAAGGAUACAAAUUUGUCAUUUGCCGCAAGUGCCAGAAUAAUAAAACCGUACUAUGUUAUCACACGUGCACAAAAAAAAAGCAGGAAAAGUGGUGAGGUUCCUGACACACAUGUUUUAUAUUUCUUUUCUAUGUCUGUGCCUCUGUGGAGGAGUUUUGCAUGUGUGGGAGAUGACAGAAAUACAAUAUAAUGUUCAGCUGAAGGGCCAUGGCCAAAAGAAAGGAACAUCACAGAAAUAAAAUACAAAGAUUAAUGGUAGCAGAAGGAUGGAAAAGUUUAUCUCACUAUCAUUAUUGUAGUAAAACAUAGAGCAUUUUUCUUUCAGUUUUCUGUUUCUGAAGGCAGGGAUGGUAACUCAUUCCCUAGCCACUGUCACACUGAAUAAAAUGUUUCUUUUAUCAACUUCAGAGCCAGCCAAUAUACCUCUUGUAAACUUGCUUCUUCUUUGUGUUCUCAAAUGACACCACUGUGGUGCACAAAAUUAUUUUCCAAAACAGUGACUUCUGAGAAGAUCAAGUAGAAGGUGCUUUUUGCAAGUUAAGAUCAAUUCAGCUGUCUUUUUGUAAGCUAUUUCAAACUCAUCCAUUGAAAAGCAUGCUUUUGGAAAAAUUAUCUUUUUUUUUUAAUAAAGACUUAGUUAAAAUAUCAAUUGUGAUGGCUUGAUCCGCCUUAAAAAAGUAUUUGUCAGGCAAAGCUAGACUGUGGGCCAUCUUCCAUUUGAUUUAGUUUGGGAAUUCUAUUAUGUAUAUUUACCCUAAGUGAGGGAGUAAAUUGGAUUUGCCCCAUGAGCUUUAGAUUAGACCUCUCAAAAAUUUAUACGCGUAGUUGGACCAUGUAAGCCUCACUUUUCAGUUCCCUUUUGCAAAACUGUCUGCAGUUUUCCAAACACAUCAACUCCAAUAAAAAUGCCUGAACAGUGUCUCAGUAUUCGUAUGUAAAUCAGAAGGCUAUGCCUCUGAAUUCUAUCAUUUGAUUGCUUAUGAUAGCUAGUAAAGUAACCUAGAGAUAGAAUAUUUUUUUUACUUAAGUUUGUUCUUGGUUUUAGUAAUGUAGGUAUUUAAAGUUAUCUACCUUUUUUUCAUUACACAAGGACAUAAGACUUCUUUGUCAGCGAUGAAUUUAAUUGAGGGAGUAUAACUACAUUAGGUAUAGGAGACAGAACAUUUAAAUCUCUUAAACUGUUUGAAUGUCCAGUUUUAUUUGGUUUUAUGGUCUAUACCACUGCAACACCAUUCAAAUCUCAAAUUACUGUAAUUCCACCAAUCUGAAAAAUUACAACAGACAAAAGGGGGAUUUCAGUAGUUGUGGCUGAAUCUCUGAACUUUGUGAAUGGAAAACUAAAUUUAAAAUUCUUCAUGUCACCAUGUUAAGUUGUAUUUUCACGGAAGAUUCCAAAUGUGGUGGACAGUUUUCAUCAUGGUAAAGAGAAUGGCUGCCAUUCCAGGUCAGUAUGUGGUAAACCCAUAGAAAAGUCCUAUUAAGUUGUCUCUUGAAAAAUGGAAAGUAAAAAUGAGUUUUACUGUAUAUUUUUUUCUUAUAUUAUAUUUAGAGAUACUCAUAAAAAUUAGUCUUAAGAAGUGGUACCUAAGUUGCUACACUGAUUUCCAAUGAUAAAUUUGUGCUAUGCUGUCAGAUCUUGGGUAUCAGGGUGCACUUGACCAGGCAAUUCUUAUACCCCCAGAGCAGAUAGAACUUUGGGAGAUGAUUUUAAUAGUUUCCUCUUGCAUUAAAAUAUGAGUCUUUAAGUUAUAUAUUCGUUUGCUGUCAAAAAACCCCUACCAAAACCCAAAAUAAAAGAGAGUGAACAUCUGACUGUACUCCCAGCUAUUAGUGGACCAGAGAUACAUUGUAUAGUAAGGUUUAGUUAUUAAAAGAAGUGCAUACAAAUAAUAGGAUAUAAUUUAUUCCAUUUGAUUCUCCGAAAAUCAUGACUGAUGGCAAUUCCGAACACUCACUUUUCCUUCUAGUGAGCAUGCUCAAAUGCUUCCAGUUUCUAAAGCAUUGUUUUAAAAACAAACAAUAGGAAAAAAGAAUAAAGAUCUAUUGGGUAAGACACUAAAUAAAAAUAGUUGACAAUAAAUCUUCCCCCUGCCUACUGAGUCCCUGCAACUUGGUACUUCACUUCAGUCUUGUUCCGUACUUGUCCUGGUUUUGUUAAAAACAAGUUUCUCUUUUAGUGAUUUUGCCUGUCAGCUAAAGCCUUCAUAUUAGCUGCAUUUUCCUGGAGAACCAGAUACAUGUUUUGGUAAACCUAGCAAUGGAAUGCAAACUUAUUGAUAAGCACGGAUGGACAUCUCGCGAGAGGGGCGAUGAGAAACAAGUGACCAAGAAACUGACCAACUGUGUAUAACAUUCCAUUCACGUCAAUACUUCAUAUAAAAGUGGGAGAUCACGAGGAUCUCGCCCCUUUUUUUCCCUUUUCCCUUCUGCUUAUGGCCGACAUUAGGAGAAGACCUUGCUGGUCGUCCCUGCAAACUGAGGCCUAGUGAGAGACUGAAUCCAGCUCCGGUUGGCUGCAGAGUCUAAUCCAGGACUUUGGUUGCUGGCUCUGCAGUUGCUGAGACUUUCAAGAUUGGUUUUGUAUAUUUUGUAUUAUUUUCUCUAUUCUUAUUAGUAGCAUUAGUAAAACAUUGUUAAUUUUUCUAA